UACGUAGGGUGCAAGCGUUAAUCGGAAUUACUGGGCGUAAAGCGUGCGCAGGCGGUCCGCUAAGACAGAUGUGAAAUCCCCGGGCUUAACCUGGGAACUGCAUUUGUGACUGGCGGGCUAGAGUAUGGCAGAGGGGGGUAGAAUUCCACGUGUAGCAGUGAAAUGCGUAGAGAUGUGGAGGAAUACCGAUGGCGAAGGCAGCCUCCUGGGCCAACACUGACGCUCAUGCACGAAAGCGUGGGGAGCAAACAGG
rnacentral:rRNA from 1 species